AUUGAACGCUGGCGGCAUGCUUUACACAUGCAAGUCGAACGGUAACAGGCCGCAAGGUGCUGACGAGUGGCGAACGGGUGAGUAAUGCAUCGGAACGUGCCCAGUCGUGGGGGAUAACGCAGCGAAAGCUGCGCUAAUACCGCAUACGAUCUAUGGAUGAAAGCGGGGGACCGUAAGGCCUCGCGCGAUUGGAGCGGCCGAUGUCAGAUUAGGUAGUUGGUGGGGUAAAGGCUCACCAAGCCGACGAUCUGUAGCUGGUCUGAGAGGACGACCAGCCACACUGGGACUGAGACACAGCCCAGACUCCUACGGGAGGCAGCAGUGGGGAAUUUUGGACAAUGGGGGCAACCCUGAUUCAGCAAUGCCGCGUGCAGGAAGAAGGCCUUCGGGUUGUAAACUGCUUUUGUACGGAACGAAACGGCUCUGGUUAAUACCUGGGGCUAAUGACGGUACCGUAAGAAUAAGCACCGGCUAACUACGUGCCAGCCGCCGCCGUAAGAC
rnacentral:rRNA from 1 species